rnacentral:rRNA from 1 species
AUUGAACGCUGGCGGCGUGCUUAACACAUGCAAGUCGAACGAAGUGGCGAACGGGUGAGUAACGCGUAAUCAACCUGCCCUUCAGCGGGGGACAACAGUUGGCAACGACUGCUAAUACCGCAUACUGAAGGAGGGGAUUGCGUCUUAUUAGCUAGUUGGAGGGGUAACGGCCAACCAAGGCGAUGAACAGGAGCCGGGCUGAGAGGAGGAACGGCCACAUUGGGACUGAGACACGGCCCAGACUCCUACGGGAGGCAGCAGGGGGGAAUCUUCCGCAAGGGACGAAAGUCUGACGGAGCAACGCCGCGUGAGUGAUGACGGUCUUCGGGUUGUAAAGCUCUGUUAAUCGGGACGCGGUACCGGAAUAGAAAGCCACGGCUAACUACGUGCCAGCAGCCGCGGUAAUUC